rnacentral:rRNA from 1 species
GACGAACGCUGGCGGCGUGCUUAACACAUGCAAGUCGAACGGAGAGGCCUGCUUUCCCUUGUUGUUUGCGGGUAUUCGAGUGGCUAACGGGUGAGUAACACGCGAGUGAUCUGCCCCCAACUUGGGUUUAAGCCUGGUAAACUGGGUCUAAUUCCCGAUAGUACUGCAUGUUGUUGCUUGUGGUGGAACACGUUUUUCUAGUGGUUGUGGAUGAGCUCGCGGCCUAUCAGCUUGUUGGUGGGGUAAUGGCCUACCAAGGCGGCGACGGGUAGCCGGGCUGAGGGGGGAGACGGGCACAUUGGGACUGAGAAACGGCCCAGACUAGGAAGGGGGGCAGAAGUGGGGAAUAUUGCACAAUGGGCGGAAGACUGAUGCAGCGACGGCGAGGGGGGGAUGACGGCCUUAGGGUUGUAAACUAAUUCGAGCGCGAGGAAGCCACCUGGUUGGAAGGGUGGUGACGGUAGUGGUAGAAGAAGCACCGGCUAACUACGUG